CACGUGAGCCCCGAGCGUUAUCCGGAAUUAUUGGGCGUAAAGGGUGCGUAGGUGGUCUGGUUAGUCGCGUAGUUAAAGCCCAGGGCUCAACUCUGGGUCUGCUACCGAAACGGCCAAACUAGAGAGAGUCAGAGGCAGGCGGAACUCAUGGUGUAGGGGUGAAAUCCGUUGAUAUCAUGGGGAACACCAAAGGCGAAGGCAGCCUGCUGGGACUUUUCUGACACUGAGGCACGAAACCCUGGGGAGCGAAGCGG
rnacentral:misc_RNA from 1 species